rnacentral:rRNA from 1 species
CAGUAGCCGCGGUAAUACGAAGGGGGCUAGCGUUGUUCGGAUUUACUGGGCGUAAAGGGUGCGUAGGCGGAUUGUUAAGUCAGGGGUGAAAUGCCGGGGCUCAACCUCGGAACUGCCUUUGAUACUGGCGAUCUUGAGUCCGGGAGAGGUGAGUGGAACUGCGAGUGUAGAGGUGAAAUUCGUAGAUAUUCGCAAGAACACCAGUGGCGAAGGCGGCUUACUGGCUCGAUACUGACGCUGAGGCGCGAAAGCGUGGGGAGCAAACAGGAUUAGAUACCCCAGUAGUCCCUGUCUCUUAUAC